UUCUGUGGCUUAGUUGGUUAAAGCGCCGGUCUUGCGAAUACGGAGUCGUGGGUUCGAAUCUCACCAGAA
rnacentral:tRNA from 1 species